AGUUUGAUCCUGGCUCAGAACGAACGCUGGCGGCAGGCUUAACACAUGCAAGUCGANUGCCCCCGCCCAGGGGAGUGGCAGACGGGGGGAGUAACGCGUAAGGAGAUACUCCUUUCCUGCGGAAUAGCUCUGGGAAACUGGAAUUAAUACCGCAUACGCCCUACGGGGGAAAGAUUUAUCGGGGAAGGAUUGGCCCGCGUUGGAUUAGCUAGUUGGUGGGGUAAAGGCCUACCAAGGCGACGAUCCAUAGCUGGUCUGAGAGGAUGAUCAGCCACAUUGGGACUGAGACACGGCCCAAACUCCUACGGGAGGCAGCAGUGGGGGAAUAUUGGACAAUGGGCGCAAGCCUGAUCCAGCCAUGCCGCGUGAGUGAUGAAGGCCUUAGGGUUGUAAAGCUCUUUCACCGAUGGAAGAUAAUGGACGGUUAGUCGGGAGGGAAGCCCCGGCUAACUUCGUGCCAGCAGCCGCGGAAAAAAAAAAGGGGCUGUUGUUUUUCCUAAUUACUGGGGCUAAAGCGCACGUAGGCGGAUAUUUAAGUCAGGGGUGAAAUCCCGCAGCUCAACUGCGGAACUGCCCUUUGAUACUGGGGUAUCUUGAGUAUGGAAGAAAAAAAAGGGAAUUCCCAAUGUUGAAGUGAAAUUCAUAUAUAUUCGGAAGGAAACACCAGUGGCGAAGGCGGGCUUUACUGGUCCAUUACUGACCCUGAAGUGCGAAAGCGGGGGGA
rnacentral:rRNA from 1 species